rnacentral:rRNA from 1 species
UACGAAGGGGGCUAGCGUUGCUCGGAAUCACUGGGCGUAAAGGGUGCGUAGGCGGGUCUUUAAGUCAGGGGUGAAAUCCCCGGGCUUAACCUGGGAAUGGCGUUUGGGACUGGGUCGCUAGAGUGUGGCAGAGGGAGGUGGAAUUCCACGUGUAGCAGUGAAAUGCGUAGAGAUGUGGAGGAACACCGAUGGCGAAGGCAGCCUCCUGGGCCAGCACUGACGCUCAUGCACGAAAGCGUGGGGAGCAAACAGG